CGCGCAGGCGGUUUGUUAAGUCAGAUGUGAAAGCCCAUGGCUCAACAAUGGACGUGCAUUUGAAACUGGCAAGCUUGAGUAGUGGAGGGGGUGGUGGAAUUCCCGGUGUAGAGGUGAAAUUCGUAGAUAUCGGGAGGAAUACCGGUGGCGAAGGCGACCACCUGGCCACAUACUGACGCUGAGGCGCGAAAGCGUGGGGAGCAAACA
rnacentral:rRNA from 1 species